UGUCUCUCUUUGCCCAGCGGUGCUCCUCUGCCUCCUCGGUGUCCAACCGGCGCUGCUGCGCCUUUCUUCGGGGCAGUGGCCACUGCUCCCGUGUCUGUGCGGCUAGGAGAUCCUUGCUACCUGAUCUGAAGAUGUUGAGAAAAGGAAAAUCAAGCGUGAAGCUUCUGCGGCCGCGCAGUUGCUAGAAGUGUCUCUCAUGAAGCAGUUCGAGUGAAGCCAACUGCAGUAGAUUCUAAUGAGCUUCAUGUACUAAAAAUAACAGUACUCCAAGUAAACCGUUCUUUGUCAGAACUAAACGGCUGACCUACCUUUGCAUUCUCUAAUGUAGUGGUGCGGAUCAGAACCUUGCAUGCUUACUUAUUGAUAUUGAUUUUAACUCACGUGGAAUUACUCUUAGAUAUAUCCUGUAACCAGUUUGGUAAUUUGGAGCUGAAAGCAUGCACCAAUUAAUUGUUUUAA